UGGAAAAGGAUAUAACUCAGGUAAAGGUGGGAGGUGAGCCAAGGGGAUAUGGUGCCUGUUGCCUUGGCAACUGGUCUGCAGUUCUCAGGUCUCGCUGUCGCCUAUGUGAUGUCAUAGGUUUGGGAUGUCCUGAUGCCAACACCUGUACUUCCCACUCACACUGAAUAGAUCUCCAUUCUAACCACUCCGAUUGACCCCGGCCUUGUGGAAAGUUCUGGUUGACCAAUAGCCCACAACAGAGUUGAAAUGAUGAGCUUAAAGAAAAGUUUUUAUCAUUAAAGAGAGAGAAAUGGAACCAACUGAAAACUGACUUUCACCUUGCCUUGUUACCAACUCCCUCUGAAGUCACAGGGAGCCUAAUCAUCUCAAUACACACUCACAUAGACCACAUGGAAUUUUAGUCCUUGAAAACUUACAAAAUGGCUGGGCACUUAUCUUUAAUUCUGACACUCAAGGAGACAGAGGUUUUUGGCUUACCUUUUCUUUCAAACUUCAAAAACUUCUUCCCCAGGUGACCAUUGCAGACAAUACCCAAACACUGUGCUCAUUUUAGUGAAAUUGCUAGUAUUCUGUCCCCCCUCUCACAUCCAUUGUCUUUACUAUAAAUACCACUUCCUUGCCUUGUAGACAUUUACUAUCACUUGUGGGUGGUGCUGCGUUGAACCCAGGGCCUUGUGUAUACUAACAAGUGCUCUACCUCUGAGCUAUAUGUCCAGAUCUCUAUACUAGAGGUGAUUGGAGAAUUGUGAUUCCCUACUUCUCUGCAUAACAAUAGAGAGCUUAUUAAGAAUAGGUGUCUAACUUUUUCCACAUAUUUUCUGAUAUUCUGCAUCAGACUAGAGGUCCAGGAUUCUGUGUUUCAAAUAAUAGCCUCGAAUAUUUUUUUUUUUUGAAAUAAGGAAUUCGGUAACCACACUUUCAGAAGCUAUUGAUAGCUGAAAAUUAUAUUGUUCAAUCCUGCCUAUCUAUUUCAGUAGAUGCUAAGAGCAGUUAAGUAAUCCAGUUCCUGCUUUCUUGGUGCUUCCAAAUCUUCAGAGAAGGAGCACACUGCCAUCUGGGG
rnacentral:lncRNA from 1 species